GACGGAGGGUGCUAGCGUUGUUCGGAAUGACUGGGCGUAAAGGGCGCGUAGGCGGCCGGUUGCGUCGGAUGUGAAAGCCCGGGGCUCAACCCCGGAACGGCAUCCGAUACGGGCUGGCUUGAGACCGAGAGAGGUGAGUGGAAUACCCAGUGUAGAGGUGAAAUUCGUAGAUAUUGGGUGGAACACCGGUGGCGAAAGCGGCUCACUGGCGUCGGUUCUGACGCUGAGGCGCGAAAGCGUGGGGAGCAAACAGG
rnacentral:rRNA from 1 species